AUUGAACGCUGGCGGCAUGCCUUACACAUGCAAGUCGAACGGUAACAGGUCUUCGGAUGCUGACGAGUGGCGGACGGGUGAGUAAUACAUCGGAACGUGCCUAGUAGUGGGGGAUAACGAAGCGAAAGCUUUGCUAAUACCGCAUAAGAUCUACGGAUGAAAGCAGGGGACCGCAAGGCCUUGCGCGAACGGAGCGGCCGAUGGCAGAUUAGGUAGUUGGUGGGAUAAAAGCUUACCAAGCCGACGAUCUGUAGCUGGUCUGAGAGGACGACCAGCCACACUGGGACUGAGACACGGCCCAGACUCCUACGGGAGGCAGCAGUGGGGAAUUUUGGACAAUGGGCGCAAGCCUGAUCCAGCCAUGCCGCGUGCAGGAUGAAGGCCUUCGGGUUGUAAACUGCUUUUGUACGGAACGAAAAGACUCUGGUUAAUACCUGGGGUCCAUGACGGUACCGUAAGAAUAAGCACCGGCUAACUACGUGCCAGCAGCCGCAGUAA
rnacentral:rRNA from 1 species